UGGGGAAUAUUGGACAAUGGGGGAAACCCUGAUCCAGCCAUGCCGCGUGAGUGAAGAAGGCCUUAGGGUUGUAAAACUCUUUCAACGGGGAAGAUAAUGACGGUACCCGUAGAAGAAGCUCCGGCUAACUUCGUGCCAGCAGCCGCGGUAAUACGAAGGGGGCUAGCGUUGUUCGGAAUUACUGGGCGUAAAGCGCAUGUAGGCGGAUUAUUAAGUCGAGGGUGAAAUCCCGGGGCUCAACCUCGGAACUGCCCUCGAUACUGGUAGUCUAGAGUUUGGGAGAGGUAAGCGGAAUACCGAGUGUAGAGGUGAAAUUCGUAGAUAUUCGGUGGAACACCAGAGGCGAAGGCGGCUUACUGGACCAAUACUGACGCUGAGAUGCGAAAGCGUGGGGAGCAAACAGGAUUAGAUACCCCCGUAGUCC
rnacentral:rRNA from 1 species